rnacentral:rRNA from 1 species
GACGAACCGUACGAACGUUAUUCGGAUUUACUGGGCUUAAAGGGUGCGUAGGCGGCGCGGAAAGUUGGGUGUGAAAUCCCUCGGCUUAACCGAGGAACUGCGCUCAAAACUGCCGUGCUCGAGGGAGACAGGGGUGAGCGGAACUUAGGGUGGAGCGGUGAAAUGCGUUGAUAUCCUAAGGAACACCAGUGGCGAAAGCGGCUCACUGGGUCUCUUCUGACGCUGAUGCACGAAAGCUAGGGUAGCGAACGGG